rnacentral:lncRNA from 1 species
ACAAUCUUAUAGGAUAAUUGAAGUCAUCUCACUCACUCUCCAAGCCCUAAUUGGAAGGUUAUGAAGGAGAAUAGCGGUCCAAAACGCAGCGGAAAUUAAAAUUUUCUCCUUUAGAGAUCCUUACGAAUGGUCAUGAUCAGUGAUAGAAUAUUUACCUCUUGUGUCGAUUGAAACCUUUGGUGCAGAUCUCUUGUGACGAUCAAAACCUUUGAUGCAGAUCCACGGAGCGAUCACGAACGUUGAACGAUGACAACGUCUCUACUCAGUCCACACGAAUGGAUUCCUUCAAUCUCAGUGCUAGCUGGUACGAAU